UAUUUGGAAGGAAGAUACCUCAUAUGGUUCUAUAUGGGUUGAAGACUUGAGCCUACGUAAAUUAUUAUCUUCAGAGGCAAUAUCUAAUGAUAUAAUUAAUUGUUGGAUGCGUAUAAUGGAAACCUUGCCCAAUGAAGAAAGCUCCAAUACGCAAUGCAACAUCUCCUACCUGCGCAUGGAGUCCACGACGAGCUUCUUCGGACUAUGAUUGAAAUAUUAUUGGGAUAUUGUACUUGAAGACUACUCUGUGAAACACAUAUCAAAUUAUCGAGAUCAAGACGGAGACGUUAAUUGUGGGGUCCAUGUUUGCCUAUGGGUUGAGUCCUUCAGGAGUAAUGAGAAAUUUUAGAUAGCAGCGAAGACCUGCAGGAUGGACUAGUACAGGACUCAUAUGGCAUACAAUAUUCUGAUAGAUCACAGAAGCACUCAAAAAGAGGGCAUUGAGAAAUACAUAGCUGAGCGACAUAAGGAUUAAGCAUUAUUUUAUUGUCAAAUAUUUUGAACAUUUGA